rnacentral:rRNA from 1 species
AGAGUUUGAUCAUGGCUCAGGACGAACGCUGGCGGCGUGCUUAACACAUGCAAAGUCUACGAGAAAAAGAGUAGCAAUAUUCUGAGUAAAGUGGCGCAAGGGUGCGUAACUCGUAAGCAAUCUACCUUUAGAAGGGGAAUAACCCGGCGAAAGCAGGAUUAAUAUCCCAUGAUGCAGCGGCACCGCAUGGUGAUGUUGUUAAAGUCUAUAUGACGUCUAGAGAUGAGCUUGCGUCUGAUUAGCUAGUUGGUGAGGUAACGGCCCACCAAGGCUACGAUCAGUAGCUGGUCUGAGAGGAUGAUCAGCCACACUGGAACUGAGACACGGUCCAGACUCCUACGGGAGGCAGCAGUGAGGAAUAUUGCGCAAUGGGGGCAACCCUGACGCAGCGACGCCGCGUGGAUGAUGAAGGCCCUUGGGUCGUAAAAUCCCGUCAGAUGGAAAGAAAUGUACAGGUGUUAACAUCGCCUGUAUUUGACGGUACCAUCAAAGGAAGCACCGGCUAACUCCGUGCCAGCCGCCGCGGUAAUA